rnacentral:rRNA from 1 species
GAGUUUGAUCUUGGCUCAGGAUAAACGCUGGCGGCGCACAUAAGACAUGCAAGUCGAACGGACUUAAUCGAUUCUUUUAGAUUCGAAGCGGUUAGUGGCGGACUGGUGAGUAACACGUAAGCAACCUGCCUGUUAGAGGGGAAUAACAGUGAGAAAUCACUGCUAAAACCGCAUAUGCCGUGAACAUCGCAUGAUAGAAAAACGGGAAAAGAGCAAUCUGCUAAUAGAUGGGCUUGCGUCUGAUUAGCUAGUUGGU